UACAGAGGUGGCAAGCGUUGUUCGGAAUUACUGGGCGUAAAGGGCGCGUAGGCGGUUCGUUAAGUCCUGUGUGAAAUCCCCCGGCUCAACUGAGGAACUGCACGGGAAACUGCCUGGCUUGAGUUCGGGAGAGGGAAGCGGAAUUCCGGGUGUAGCGGUGAAAUGCGUAGAUAUCCGGAGGAAUACCGGUGGCGAAGGCGGCAUCCUGGACCGACAUUGACGCUGAACGGCGAAAGCUAGGGGAGCAAACGGG
rnacentral:rRNA from 1 species